UCCAGCUGUGAGAUCCACAGGCAGCUUCAUUUUGUUUUGGGGAGCAAAGCUUCCACCUGAUUACUUCUUUCUAAAAACGAGUACCACCUUCUUCGAUUUUACAGGAACUGAUUCAGGCCGCUGACGUUAAUGAGAAUUAUGCUUUUCUGAGCUCUGGAACAAGCUUUAAGGCAAGAUGUAUGGAUAGGCAGAGAGAGAGAGAGAGAGAGAGAGAGAGAGAGAGAGGGAGAGACAGACAGACAGACAGAUAGAUAGAUAGAUGAUAGAUAGAUAAAGCCCCUCUAUCCUUUCUUAUUUGCCACCCAUUUAGAGAUUUUAUGGCAGGACCUGUUUUUGUUCCACAGGUACCAGGAGCUUGGAAGUGCCUGCUCUUCCUGCCGUCUUGCAGCUUCAAUACCCCCAAAUAUAUUUAGACUAAUGACUCAAUUCCCUCAUCACAAAGAUAUGUGAGAAGGAAUUGUAGUCUAUCUUGUAAAAACAGUGCUACACUUGUACAUGCAUGUGUAGGACUGUUAAAGAUUUUACAAGAUACAGGGGAAUGUGCCACUGCUUAUCUGGUGAAAGGUAGGAGCUCAGCUUUAAAAAAAAGAAAUCCACCCUCUACCUCAGGCCUGGCCUGCCAAGUUUUAGCUGUGUGUUCCCUCUUUGAGGCACAUCCUGCACACAGAGGUGAACAUGCUCUCCAAUUUAGAGGGAAGAUUUAGGAGCAAACUCUACUUCCAUUUACAUCGUUAAAAUCCUAAUGAGGCUGUAAAUCAGGAUAAGAGUAUGGUUGAGGUCAACAGGGUUGGGUGGAUUUAAACGGCUGCAGAAUUUGUCCAGUUUAGGUGGAAAUAUGGACCAGAUGAGCAGAGUGGAGCUGAAAGAAAAAAAUUUCUCAUUCUUGUUAAGAUCCAAACAGAGUAACACCACGUAUCAAUUUUGGGUCAGAAUGUUUUGCUUCUUUCUGUAAAGAGAUAACAGUGAAAAUGUUUACUGUCCUAAAUCACAGUGGCCAAUGACAAAUGCAUUAAACUGGGCCAAAAAUAAUUUAUAAAAGCUUGAAAUGAAUUUUUUCCCCCCGACAUAUACUUGAUAGGGUAGUUAUUAGAACUAGAUUUGUAUUCCUCAGUUUAAAAUUUUCUCCAAACUAUUAACAAAAUUUGAUGUAUUUCCCAAAAUACACCAACAUGAUGACAUUUUCCAUUACUUCCCUUUUGUAAGUAAGCUUCAAUAUUUCAGGUAUUACAUAAUGUGGAAUUAUCUGGAAAUAUA